rnacentral:rRNA from 1 species
GACGAACGCUGGCGGCGUGCUUAACACAUGCAAGUCGAACGGAAAGGCCUGCUUUCCCUUGUGGAUUGCGGGUACUCGAGUGGCGAACGGGUGAGUAACACGUGAGUGAUCUGCCCCCAACUUGGGUAUAAGCCUGGUAAACUGGGUCUAAUUCCCGAUAGGACUGCAGGGUGGUGCCUGUGGUGGAAAACGUUUUUCUAGUGGUUGGGGAUGAGCUCGCGGCCUAGCAGCUUGCUGGUGGGGUAAUGGCCGACCAAGGCGGCGACUGGUAGGCUGCGUGGGAGGAGGGAGGGUGACAGUGGGACUGGGAAACAGGCCAGAGUGCUACGGGAGGCAGCAGUGGGGGAUGUAGCAGAAUGGACGGAAGGCUGAUGGAGCGAGGGUGCGUGGGAGAUGACGUGUGUGGGGUAGUAAGCUUCUCGCGACCGAGAGGAAGCCACGUGGUUGGGAGGGUAGUGACGGUAGUAGUAGAAGAAGCAACGGCUAACUACGUG